rnacentral:tRNA from 1 species
GCCCAGAUGAGCCUUGGUGGUUCCGGGGUGCAGGCUUCAAACCUGUAGGUGAUGCGAGUCACAGAGGUUCGAUUCCUCCUUCUGGGC